rnacentral:ncRNA from 1 species
GAGAUGGUGAUUUACCCUGUGGCAGAUGUCAGCAGUUCGAGUCCUCUUAUCUCCAGCCCAUGAUCCUAGCCACUACAAUGGUAUAUGAUAGCACACAAUUAUAUGAAAAUGAGCAUAGAUCCGGAGAUUCUCGAAUAGGUUAACCUUUUUAACUGCUUCUUAAUCCAUGGGUAGGCAAGAGACAACCUAACGAACUGAAACAUCUUAGUAGCUAGAGGAAUAGAAAGAAAAAUCAAUUCCUGUAGUAGUGGCAAGUGAAAUGGGAGCAACCUAAACUGUGAAAAUGGGGUUGUGGGAGAGCACAAUAUAAGCUCUGUGCUGCUAGGCGAAGUGGUUGAGUCCUAUACCCUAGAUGGUGAGAUUCCAGUAGCCAAAAUCAUCAUUGGGUUAUUCUCUAACCUGAGUAGCAUGGGGCACGUGGAAUCCCAUGUGAAUCAGCAAGGACCACCUUGCAAGGCUAAAUACUCCUGGGUGACCGAUAAUGAAGUAGUACCAUGAGGGAAAGGUGAAAAGAACCCCCAUCGGGGAGUGAAAUAUAACAUGAACCCGUAAGCUCCCAAGUAGUGGGAGGAAAAUGAUAUCUCUGACCGCAUGCCUAUUGAAGAAUGAGUCGAUGACUUAUAGGAAGUGGCUUGGUUAAGGGAACCCACCGGAGCCAUAGCGAGAGCGAGUCUUCAUGGGGAAAUUGUCACUACUUAUGGACCCAAAACCUGGGUGAUCUAUCCAUGACCAGGAUGGAGCUUGGGUGAAACUAAGUGGAGGUCCGAACCGAAUGAUGUUGAAAAAUCAACGGAUGAGUUUUGGUUAGGGGUGAAAUGCCACUCGAACCUAGAUCUAGCUGGUUCUCCUCGAAAUGCGUUGAGGAGCAAUAGUUGACUGGACCAACUAGGGGUAAAGAAUUGUUUUGGUACGGGCCGCGAGAGAGGUUCCAAAUCGAGGCAAACUCUGAAUACUAGAUUGCCUCAAUAAAAGGGGUAAAGGUCAGCCAGUGAGAUGAUGGGGGAUAAGCUUCAUCGUCGAGAGGGAAACAACCCAGAUCAUCAGCUAAGGCCCAUAAAUGACCACUCAGUGAUGAAGGAAGUACGAGUGCAAAGAUAGCCAGGAGGUUUUCCUAGAAGCAGCCAACCUUGAAAGAGUGCGUAAUAGCUCACUGAUCGAGCGCUCUUGCGCCGAAGAUGAACGGGACUAAGCGAUCUGUCGAAGCUGUGGGAUGUAAAAAUACAUCGGUAGGGGAGAAAAAUGGACCAAAUAUGAUAGUGCUACUAAAUUGGAAGGUAGUGGAGCCAAAGCACCCCACAAGGAAGUAAAUGCCUAGUUUGGUGUAAGUUUGUAGGAAUUAGCAUAUUUUAAAUGCGAGAUCAGGCACUGGAUUUACCUUAAUUUACCUUAAUUUACCAUCUCAU